GAUGAACGCUGGCGGCGUGCUUAACACAUGCAAGUCGAACGGAAAGGCCGAAGCUUGCUUCGGUACUCGAGUGGCGAACGGGUGAGUAACACGUGGGUGAUCUGCCCUGUACUUCGGGAUAAGCUUGGGAAACUGGGUCUAAUACCGGAUAUGACGAUCUCUUGGAUGGGGUUGUGGAAAGCUUUUGCGGUAUGGGAUGAGCUCGCGGCCUAUCAGCUUGUUGGUGGGGUAAUGGCCUACCAAGGCGUCGACGGGUAGCCGGCCUGAGAGGGUGUACGGCCACAUUGGGACUAAGAUACGGCCCAGACUCCUACGGGAGGCAGCAGUGGGGAAUAUUGCACAAUGGGCGCAAGCCUGAUGCAGCGACGCCGCGUGGGGGAUGACGGCCUUCGGGUUGUAAACUCCUUUCGCAAUCGACGAAGCCUUUUGGUGACGGUAGGUUGAGAAGAAGCACCGGCUAACUACGUG
rnacentral:rRNA from 1 species